AAUCAACGCUGGCGGCGUGCCUCAGACAUGCAAGUCGAACGAUUAAAGCUCUCUUCGGAGAGUGCAUAAAGUGGCGCACGGGUGAGUAACACGUAAGUAAUCUACCUUCGAGUGGGGAAUAACGUCCGGAAACGGACGCUAAUACCGCAUAACGCAGCGGCAUCGCAAGAUGACAGUUGUUAAAGAUUUAUCGCUUGAAGAGGAGCUUGCGGCAGAUAGCUUGUUGGUAAGGUAACGGCUUACCAAGGCUACGAUCUGUAUCCGGUCUAAGAGGACGGUCGGACACACUGACACUGAAUAACGGGUCAGACUCCUACGGGAGGCAGCAGUCGGGAAUUUUGGG
rnacentral:rRNA from 1 species